rnacentral:lncRNA from 1 species
GUGUCCUUCCCUUUUGAGGGGCAGAGUGAGGGUAGUGGGGGUGGAGGGAAGCUUUGGGUUCUAGGGACAUUGCUGAUUGCCAGCCUUUUCUGUGUGAGCUUUGGAGCAGUGAAGAUGGUGAUGAAGGGGCCCUAGGAUCAAUGUGAAACAGAGACCAAUCCCUUGUCCAGCUGUCCUUCUUCUCUCCAGGAAUUAAGGAGGAGAAGACUCAUAGUAAAAGAAAAAAAGGCUGAAAGUGGAGGGUGACUCAAGGACUGUCUCCCGUAGUGGCUUGCAGACUCACUGGUGUUGGCACGCCUGUCUGUACAUAUCAUAGCCUCCACUGGUAGCCAUAAGCCCCCGUCCUGUUCCUGUGCUUGGGCAACUCAGGGAGCAUCUUUGCAGUUUUCUUUUCCCUCUUUUGCAAGAAUGCAGAUGAUGGACGGAACCGAUGAAAAAGAAACUGCCCACAAUCUCAGCAGAUGCCUUUUCUUCUUGGUCCUUUCCUCACGUGUGCAAAAGGGCCUGGAAAACCUCCUUCUGGCGAGACACCUGCCCUGAAGGGAUGUCCACUCUGCUGCAGUAUCGUAUCAGCCCUCUUCCACUGGGACGGCCUGAGCCCUGCAGAGGCUCGGUCUCGAAGACGUGUCUGUCUGUCUGUCUUUCCCCAGCCUGGACCUGGCUAACCUGAAGGUGCUGCUCCUGGGAAACUUCUGGCCUGGCUGGGGGUUGGGACAUGAACAUCCAGGUGCAGGACCGUGCCUUGUCCUUAGUUGUGGGAUCUGUGACCUCUGACCCCUGCUUCUCGGCCAACUCACUCAUUGGGCACGUCUCGAACAACCAGCGGAUGGUCUGCACAUCACCCUUGAGGGGUGCCUCAGGCUGAGGGCCUCCCGGAGGCAUUCCUUCCUCUUCCUGUCGUUCCUGCUGCUCCCGUUGGUGGAUUACCUCCAGGGGCUGAGUCUCAAAGAGCCACCGGGCAGUGCCCACAUCUCCAGCCACCACUUCCUCCCGGGUGAUGCCCCGCACCACGUCGACGGUACUGGGGUUUCGACCUAGUUGGUCUAGGGGCUGUGUCUCAAACAUCCACCUGUAGCCCUGCACAUCACCUCCCACGACCUGCUCUCUGCUGACGGAUGUCAGGGCAUGAAGGUGGCCUUUGCCAUCCUGCAGGGCGUACACUGGGGACCCUAUGUCUUGGGACUGCUCAGCAGAAUCAGUUCCUUCUGCUCUGCUUACAUUCCCAUGGGCCAAAGCUUCACCCUGCCUGAUGCUAUCCAGGGGAAGGGUCUCGAAAAGAUUCUUGAAGGUCUUUACAUCCCCCUUCACCACAUCCCCCUGGGGCGCACACUGAGAGAGGGACAGCGCUGAGGAGC